AACGAACGCUGGCGGCAUGCUUAACACAUGCAAGUCGAACGAGAACUUCGGGCCUUGUGGCGCACGUGUGCGUACCGAGUGGUAACUUGCACUUAGGUUAGCUAUACUUCCCUGUAGGGGGUGUUAAUACAGGUUAAUGUCAUAGGACCAAAGAUCUAUUGCUUUUGGAUGGGCGUGGGUUAGAUUAGCGAGUUGGUAGUGUACAAGCCUCCCAAGGCGAUGAUCCAUGGCUGGUCUGUGAAGAGGAUCAGCCCCACUGGAGCUGAGACACGGCCCAGACUCCUACGGGAGGCAGCAGUAGAGAAUAUUAGACAAUGAGCGAAAGCCUAGUACAGCAAUGCCGCGUAAGUGAGGAAGGCCUUAGUAUUGUAAAGCUCUUUUUGCCGAGAUGAGAGUGACAGUACCGGGAGAAUAAGCACCGGCUAACUCCGUG
rnacentral:rRNA from 1 species